rnacentral:rRNA from 1 species
GCCUACAACCAUACCACCCUGAAUGUGCCCGAUCUCAUCUAAUCUUGGUAGUUAAGCAGGGUCGGGCUUGGUUAAUACUUGGAUGGGAGAAAUUAGAGUCUGGGCA